AUUUUUUUUUUUAUUUUUUUUGUUAUGUAAUUUUCUCUCUCGUCUGUUUCCUGUCUCUCUCCCUUGAUCGACUUCAAUAUCAUCUCCACGGAAAAGACACGAUAGAAUUGAAAGGUCAUUCAGUCGGUGAUUCAGUCGGAAAAUUUAGUCGGUGAUUCAGUAAGAAAGUGGAUUUUACCGGCGGCAUCACAUCUCCACCGUAAGAGACACCAUCGACGAUCUCGGUUCAUCAAUCUGAUCGCGAUUAAUUAGUGGGUUCAUCAAUCCAAUCACAUCUCCAUUGAUUCUACUGUGGAAAAAAUAGAAAGUUUCAAGCUUAUUCAAAUUGGUUAGAGUCAAAAGAAGUAAGAAAUGGAGAAACGAGUGAGAGAAGACAAGAGUGUUCAACAACUCAUGUACUUGAGAAUUUGUGCUUUUGAUUAUUGCAUAGAUAUUUCUCCAUCAAGUAUACAGUGCUACUGUUUUCCACAAUGCAAGC